rnacentral:rRNA from 1 species
GUACGGCUCAGUAACACGUGGCUAACCUACCCUCGAGACGGAGAUAACCCCGGGAAACUGGGGCUAAUAACCGAUAGGCGAGAGCCUCUGGAAUGAGCUCUCACCUAAAUGACGUCGAAACCAUGCUUUCGACGUCGCUCGAGGAUGGGGCCGCAUCCGAUCAGGUUGUUGGUGAGGUAACGGCUCACCAAGCCUAUAACCGGUACGGGCCGUGAGAGCGGGAGCCCGGAGAUGGGCACUGAGACAAGGGCCCAGGCCCUACGGGGCGCAGCAGUUGCGAAAACUCCGCAAUGCGCGAAAGCGUGACGGGGCCACCCCGAGUGCUAUCCGCUGAGGACGGCUUUUCUCCGGUGUAAUGAGCCGGAGGAAUAAGGAGAGGGCAAGACUGGUGUCAGCCGCCGCGGUAAUACCAGCUCUCCGAGUGGUAGGGAUGAUUAUUGGGCUUAAAGCGUCCGUAGCCUGUCAGGUAAGUGUCCCGUUAAAU